UACGUAGGGACCAAGCGUUGUUCGGAUUUACUGGGCGUAAAGGGCGCGUAGGCGGCUUGACAAGUCACUUGUGAAAUCUCCGGGCUUAACUCGGAACGGCCAAGUGAAACUGUCAUGCUAGAGUGCAGAAGGGGCAAUCGGAAUUCUUGGUGUAGCGGUGAAAUGCGUAGAUAUCAAGAGGAACACCUGAGGUGAAGACGGGUGGCUGGGCUGACACUGACGCUGAGGAGCGAAAGCGUGGGGAGCGAACAGG
rnacentral:rRNA from 1 species